rnacentral:lncRNA from 1 species
UGUGUGUGUUUGUGUGUGAGCAAGCCAGCCUGUGUGCGCCCAGGUAUAUAUGAAGGCAUAGGACAUAAUUAUAUACAAAUUAAACCAAAUUAAAUAUUCCUGGGUAUUUAGGGUUUGGACUGGUUUUCCAUAUCUUUAUGCUUCAAAUUUGUUUAUUACAUAUGAUAUGUGUUUUAUGGUUACAUACAUUUCUUGUGUCAGCAUUUAAUUGUUAAUAGUAGCCUAUAAGUUAUCUUCCCAUUUCUGUGGUGUUUUUUGCAGUAUAUCAUAUUUCCUCUUUGAUUUUAUUUGGGUUUUCUCUUUUCUUGCUUAGUCUUGUCAAAAUAUUUUUCCAAUUGUAUUUAUUUUUUGAAAAGACACUUUUUGUUUCAUCUUUUUUUAGUGUUCUAUUUCAUUUACUUUAUCUUUGAACUUGUUAUCUCUCCUUGAAUUAAUUUUGGAUUUAGUUUGUUCUUGCUUUUGUUGCCUGAAUUGUAUCUUCAGGUUGCUCCUUACUGUUCCCCACUCCUUUCUCUUAUCAUGCAUAUAUAUUGCUGCAAAUAUCACUGCUUGCUAUGUUUGUGUGUGUUAUUUUUAUUUUCAUCUUGUUACCACGAUUUUUUUUUAAAAAAAUUCCCCAGGGUCCCAUUCAUUAAAUACCAUGUUUAGUUCUCUGUACAACUUUUAAAGAUUUGUUUAUUUCUGUGAUGGCAAAAGCGUGUGCACCGUGGCUUCAGUAAACCUGAAUACUUGCCCCGUUUACUAGACUAGACCUGAAAAUAUAAACAGUAUUGGUACUAGUUACUUGUCUUGUUGUUGUGACACCAUGAGAAGAAGCAACUUAGGGGAGGAAAGAAAGGUUUAGGUUCAUUUCUGGCUCACAGUUUGAGGAUAUAGUCCAUUAUGAUGGGGAAGCCAUGACAGCAGGAUCUCGAGGCUCCUAGUCACAUUGCAUCAACAGUCAGGAAACGGAAUGAUGAAUUCUCAUGCUCAGCUCACUGUCUCCUUAAUCAGUCCAGGUCCCCAGUCUGGAGAAUGUGUCACAUGACAUGUGCUGGGUAUACUUAAAUUGGUGUUGCUACCUCAGUGACUCUAAUCUAGAUAAUUCUUUCCAGUCAUGCCCAGAAGAUUGCCUUCUGGGUAAUCCCAGAUCCUGUCAAGUUUACAACCAAUAUCAUCACAAGCAUUUAUAAUUAUCAAAACACACAUUCAUUUUUACUGUUUGUGUUUGUGUGUAUGUGUGAGUUGAUGCAUAUGUGCACAUGCAUGUAUGUGCAUAUGGGGGAUAGAGACAGUCUUGGUAACUAUCCUAAGGAACACCUUCCAAUUUAUUAUGAGAUGGAUCCCAUUGGCCUGGGAUUUAACAACUGGUUGGCCAAGGAGUCUCACAGCUCCAUCUGUUCCCCGUCCUUUGGGUUAUAAGAGUGUGGGCCAUUAUAUCCCAGUUUUUACUAGUGAUUGAGUCCGUAGGCUUGGAGAUAAGUGCUUUAUAUUCUCAGCUAUCUCCUAGCCCCUACAGAUCCAUUCAAGAGUAAUCAAUGAUGAGUGAAAAUAUGUGUUAAUUACACUGAAAGCAUGUGGUUUAUUCUGUAGAAUGUUCUGUAAGCUAAGAGAAUGUAUUUUGUAGAACUUGGAUAAAGGACUGUUGGAUUCACUUUAAUAUCGUUUAACUGUUUCUUUGCUAAUUUUCUUUUGGUAUGGGGGGGGGUCUGUGUAUUUUGUCAGGGAUGAAUCUAGGGUAUUGAGGUUCUCAGUUAAAGUAUUUUCUUCUUUUACAUUGAUCCUUUAUGAUGGAUACUGUGCAUGUCCCUCUGCUUGGAGUAAAGGCCUUGCUUCAUAGCCCCAGUGAGCUUUGAGUUAGUGAUCCUCUUUUUCUGCCCACCCUUCUAAGGACUGCAGUUACAGUUGUGUACAACUGCAGCCCACUUUUAGCUUUUUGACAUCUGGUUUAGAAUUUCUACAUUUUAUAUAUAUCAAGUAGUACCUCAUGCAUUUGGCUUUUUGUAUAUUCUAUGUUUUCUUCAUUCUUUUUCAGUUUGUUUGUGUCUUUAUUAGUGCUAAGUGAAUUUUCUUGUAGAUGGCAUACUUUUUAUUUUUUUAGCUAUUGGGCUUAUUUUCCUAUGCCUUCUGACUGAUAAAUUUUAUCUGUUUAUAUUCAGGUAUGUUAACUGGUGGAAAAAGCCACACUUGUAUCAUUCUGUUAAUUGUUUUUAAGCUUUGUAUAUAUUUUCUUUGUUCCCCUCUUGUUUCUUAUCUUCCUGGUUUGGGGCAUUCUGCAACAGUAAGUUUGAAUUUUCCUUUUUUGCCUGUAUUUGCUGUACUGUUGAGUGUUGCGCACCAGUUUUGUGAUAUUUUCUAUUAGUCCUUUGUUCUAGUGUAAGUCUCCCUUAAGCAUAUCUUGGAGGGUCUCACUCUUGUGAUAAUUUUAUAUCAUCUUUUUACCUGUCAUGAAACUUUUUCUUUGUUUAUGAAAAAUGGCUUUGUUGGGUAUGGUAUUCUUAGACUAGAAUGUGUAAUAUUUAAGUGAAAUAACAAUCUCAGAACAAAAAAAACCACUUUCUCCCUCAUGUGGAUCCUAAUCUGUAUGUGUGAUUUGUAAAUUCUUUAUAAUAAGGUUAAAGAUUUUUGAGGACAGUUCAGCUUUAGCUUGGGAUACAAUAGGUAAGAUCUUUACAGGCUAACUUAAUUCAAGCUUCUCAGUCAAAAGAAAUAAUAUAUAUGCAUAUAUAUGUGUGCAUUUGCUUGUGUAUAUAUAAACAAAUGUAAAUCUGGGUCCUAUGUAACAUAGGAAGGAGAAUAAGGAAGGCUAGUUAUUAGGUGAUAAGGACUGAAUAGGGGUAAAGUGUAGGAGUCACCACAGAUGAGUUUAUAAAGCUCAUUUUCUAGUUUUCACUUUUACAGCUUUUGUUUUUAUGGUCAUGGACAAGUGCAUACAAAUAUAUUUGAUAGUG